AGUUUGUAUGUUCUCCCCGUGUUCGCGUGGGUUUCCUCCGGGUGCUCCGGUUUCCCCCUAAGUCCAACGACAUGCAGUAACUUACAGGUGAAUUUGGCGGCAGUGAUGUGUUACUGUGACUGAAGAAAACACAGAGGAAACAAAAGCAGAAGAAACACUCCCUCCAUGUGGACGUGGUCUGUUUCUGGAGAAGCUUGAGCUGGCAGUCGCGAGAGUAAGACAAAGGAUCGAGUGUCCGGGCCAGAAACACGUGCGCCAGAUUCAGCUCAUCUCUUAAUAAACGUUUUAUAAAAUAUUAAAUGUUCCCUUUCUUGUGUUGUGGUGUUUAAUUUGUACUUUUAUGUUGUUCUGGUCUGUAAAAUUCAAUAAAUUUGGUUUUUAACUCA